AAAUAAACAUGUUUAUUUUAAAAGCAAACAGAUGUGAUUGCUUUUGGACUCAUUUUCAAACGCACUGGUACACUUGUAUUCGUGUGCAUGGUUGGUAUGACUUUUACACGCAAAAGAAUACCUGUUCCCUUAGAUGUUGAGAAAUAAGUUAGCUAUAUGUUAUCAAAGAAGUACACCAUGAUUUAAAGCUAUGGUCAAACAAAAAAAUGGUUUUAUCAUGAACAAAACUAUACAGUUUUAGACUCACAAUCACAUGCACAAGUAUAAUCCACAGCUGAAUAUAAAGUCCUGAUCUCAGCUGUGUGAUACAAGCAAGUAGCAAGUUAAUUGAAGGUAAGUGACCUAUUACUUUGGCAAUGCAUAUGAUGCCCCACCCUCUCCACACAGACUGCUCUUGUUGCAGCUAUCAAGUGAAUACUUAUUUGUAGGCUAUUGAAGGAGGUUAUCCAGGCUUCUGCCAGUUUCUGUUUCUGAAUAUAUUUUAUCAGUUAAACGUACAAGAAAGAAUGAGUUUCCAUGGAAAUAAAUAAGAGGCAUUACUUUCUGAGUGACCUAUGAGAAUUCAGGAAAUUUGAAGCACAAUAAAAGGAUCAAGAAAAAAAAAAACUGCGGCACAAGACAGAUGUAAUACAACAUAUCUUGAUCUGAUGUAACACACAAUCAGUUCUAGGUUUAAGCCCGUUCUUGGUUGACAAUGAAUCCUUAAGUGUGAUUCAGAGACAGUGGACAGGACUGUGACCGAGUUAUGAGUAAGCACCCGUACUGCACAGCUGUCUAGCAGGUAGUGAGUACCACAGAAGCAUGAUGCCAGACAGCAUUCUUCUUUCUUCCACAGAAUCAUAAAAAAUGAUAUUUUGGAGGGGAACCCCUUGAGGUAUCUAUUCCAACCUCCUGUUCAAAGUCUUGAACUUCAAAAUUAGAAAAUGUUGUUCAGGAUUUUAUAUAGUUCAAUUCAGAAAAUAUCCAAUAUUGCAUGACUUCUCUGUACAUCUAACCAUCUGCAUGCCCUUUUUAGUUGCAUAUAAAUAAUAUGCUCAUCUGUGAAAAGAACCUAAAUCAUGUUGGAGAAUAAAAUAUAUUACUUUUUACCACGGAAAAGAGAUGGGUAAUGGGGAAAUUAGUCUUCAAAUACCCGAAGGAGCAUUAAAAAUUUUCAGAAAAAAAAGUCAGAAAAAGAAAAGUAGGAAUCAACUCACCAAGAAGUCUGCAUGUGGGAAGAGGUAGGGAAAGAUUCACAGAUACAUCUAGAGAUUUGCUCCCCUGCUGGUACAAGUUCCAAGUAAGUCCAAACUAUGUAGUGGCUUCGUGAUGAGUCUGGAAUGACUACAUGGAAAUCACUGCAUGAGGACAGGCUGUACAUGGAGAUAGGACUGUGAGUCAUGGAUGCACUCUUAAUACUAUCUGUUUAGAUUAACAUAAAUGAGUUCAGGUUUAUCAAAAAGUGUUAUCCUUUCUAAUCAGGAGACCUGAAUAUGACUUUUGCUCUCACAGUAGCACUGAGCACAUAACUAAGUUGACUAGAAUCAAAUCCAUAGAAGAUAAGAAACAAUGUAUCUAGUCUGUGGCAAGAUUAAUUCCUCUUGAGAUUUAAGAAAGAUUUUCAGAUCUUGUUUUGUAAAAAAAUUAAAAAAAAAUGCAAUAAGCUUAAAGAAGUUAUGAUUCUAUAAAUAACUUGAAUUUUUGAGUAGGAAUUGUCACUGUAGUACAUGGAUCAAUAACAGGGAUUUAUAUAGUUCCCAAGCAGAUACUUCAGAACAAUGGUCAAUUUCUCAUUACCUUUAACUCCUUUGCUAUUCUUCCAAAAAAUAUUUCUGGCUUGUGUGUGUGCUUUGUGAUGUUCUUGUAGAAUGCAUUAUGUACCAAACCUUUUAUUUAAUGGGAGUGGCAAGAAACAAAAAAAUCCCCUCCUUUGCCAAUUCUCCUCUCCCUUUCAAUCUUUACCCUGUUCUCUGAUAGGUAGAUGUAUUUUACUAAGGCGAAUACCAUUAUGUUUGUUGGUUGUUUAUUUAUAAGUAUAAAAGGUUUUGGCAUGGUAUCGAUUAACUGCAUGUUGGCCAUGUGUUCUGAUGUAUAUUUAAAUUCUUGAGAAAAAGUUAUUUUUAAUCAAAACUUCAUUUAAAGGGGAAUGUUAUGUACCAAAAUAUCAUCUUUUUUAGGAACUGGUGCUGUGUUUAUGAAUGCAUGUGUAGGGAAAAUAAAUUGAAGACUGUCAUAAUGAUUUAAAUAGUAAAAUCUCUGAAAAUAAAUUAAAAUCAAGCUAGAUAAUUUCCAAAGCAUAAUGAACCAUUUGACCUUGUAUUGCCUGGGUUAAGUGGAAGGGCAGAAAAGAUGGAAGAACUAGCUAAUGACACUGGAUUUGUGAGAGUCAGUGUCAUAAUGGUGGUUUAAGAUAUAUACCCUUCUAUUCAUAGGAAGUUAC